CGAGGCGAACCGGGGAAACUGAAACAUCUCAGUACCCCGAGGAAAAGAAAUCAACCGAGAUUCCCCCAGUAGCGGCGAGCGAACAGGGAGCAGCCCAGAGUCAACAUCAAUAUUUACCGCAGGAGAAAGAUCUGGAAAGGCCGGCAAUAAAGGGUGAUAGCCCCGUAUCUGAAGCGGUAAGUGUUGUGAACUCGAAGAGUAAGGCGGGACACGUGUUAUCCUGUCUGGAUAUGGGGGGACCAUCCUCCAAGGCUAAAUACUCCUGACUGACCGAUAGUGAACCAGUACCGUGAGGGAAAGGCGAAAAGAACCCCGGCGAGAGGAGUGAAAUAGAACCUGAAACCGUGUACGUACAAGCAGUAGGAGCACCCGAAAAGGUGUGACUGCGUACCUUUUGUAUAAUGGGUCAGCGACUUAUAUUCUGUAGCAAGGUUAACCGCAUAGGGGAGCCGUAGGGAAACCGAGUCUUAACUGGGCGUUAAGUUGCAGGGUAUAGACCCGAAACCCGGUGAUCUAGCCAUGGGCAGGUUGAAG
rnacentral:rRNA from 1 species